GACGAACGCUGGCGGCGUGCCUAAUACAUGCAAGUAGAACGCACAGUUUAUACCGUAGCUUGCUACACCAUAAACUGUGAGUUGCGAACGGGUGAGUAACGCGUAGGUAACCUGCCUGGUAGCGGGGGAUAACUAUUGGAAACGAUAGCUAAUACCGCAUAAUAUUGAUUAUUGCAUGAUAAUUGAUUGAAAGAUGCUAUUGCAUCACUACCAGAUGGACCUGCGUUGUAUUAGCUAGUAGGUGAGGUAACGGCUCACCUAGGCGACGAUACAUAGCCGACCUGAGAGGGUGAUCGGCCACACUGGGACUGAGACACGGCCCAGACUCCUACGGGAGGAAGCAGUAGGGAAUCUUCGGCAAUGGACGAAAGUCUGACCGAGCAACGCCGCGUGAGUGAAGAAGGUUGUCGGAUCGUAAAGCUCUGUUGUAAGAGAAGAACGGGUGUGAGAGUGGAAAGUUCACACUGUGACGGUAUCUGACCAGAAAGGGACGGCUAACUACGUG
rnacentral:rRNA from 1 species